rnacentral:rRNA from 2 species
CUUUGUGGUUCAUGACUGGGGUGAAGUCGUAACAAGGUAGCCCUAGGGGAACCUGGGGCUGGAUCACCUCCUUAUACGAUGAU